rnacentral:rRNA from 1 species
GACGAACGCUGGCGGCGUGCUUAACACAUGCAAGUCGAACGGUGAAGGGACUGGUUUUGCUGGUCCUGGAUGAGUGGCGAACGGGUGAGUAACACGUGAGUAACCUGCCCCCUUCUUCUGGAUAACCGCAUGAAAGUGUGGCUAAUACGGGAUAUUCUGGGUCUGUCGCAUGGUGGGCCUGGGAAAGAUUGCGCCUUUUUUGGUGUUUUUGGUGGGGGAUGGGCUCGCGGCCUAUCAGCUUGUUGGUGGGGGGAUGGCCUACCAAGGCGGUGACGGGUAGCCGGCCUGAGAGGGUGGACGGUCACACUGGGACUGAGACACGGCCCAGACUCCUACGGGAGGCAGCAGUGGGGAAUAUUGCACAAUGGGCGCAAGCCUGAUGCAGCGACGCCGCGUGAGGGAUGGAGGCCUUCGGGUUGUGAACCUCUUUCGCCAGUGAAGCAGGCCUGCCUCUUUUUGUGGGUGGGUUGACGGUAGCUGGAGAAGAAGCGCCGGCUAACUACGUG